rnacentral:rRNA from 1 species
GAACGAACGCUGGCGGCGUGCCUAACACAUGCAAGUCGAACGAGAAAGGGGCUUCGGCUCCGAGUAAAGUGGCGCACGGGUGAGUAACACGUGGGUAACCUGCCUCUAAGAUUGGGAUAACUCGUCGAAAGAUGAGCUAAUACCGAAUAAGACCACAGUUCCCGCGGGAACAGGGGUCAAAGGUAGCCUCUGCUUGCAAGCUAUCACUUGGAGAUGGGCCUGCGCACCAUUAGCUAGUUGGUAGGGUAACGGCCUACCAAGGCAAAGAUGGUUAGCUGGUCUGAGAGGAUGAUCAGCCACACUGGAACUGAGACACGGUCCAGACUCCUACGGGAGGCAGCAGUGGGGAAUAUUGCGCAAUGGGCGAAAGCCUGACGCAGCAACGCCGCGUGAGUGAUGAAGGCCUUCGGGUCGUAAAGCUCUGUCGGGAGGAACGAAUGCUUCCGAGGUUAACAGCCUCGGAAGGUGACGGUACCUUCAAAGGAAGCACCGGCUAACUCUGUGCCAGCAGCCGCGGUAAUACAGAGGUCUCAACCGUUGUUCGGAUUCAUUGGGCGUAAAGGGUGCGUAGGCGGUCGCGCAAGUCGGAUGUGAAAUCUCGGGGCUCAACCCCGAAACUGCAUUCGAUACUGCGUGGCUAGAGUGCUGGAGGGGAGACUGGAAUUUACGGUGUAGCAGUGAAAUGCGUAGAUAUCGUAAGGAAGACCAGUGGCGAAGGCGAGUCUCUGGACAGCAACUGACGCUGAGGCACGAAGGCCAGGGGAGCAAACGGGAUUAGAUACCCCGGUAGUCCUGGCAGUAAACGGUGCACGUUUGGUGUAGGCGGAUUCGACCCUUCUUGUAGCGAAGCUAACGCGUUAAGCAUCCCGCCUGUGGAGUACGGUCGCAAGACUAAAACAUAAAGGAAUUGACGGGGACCCGCACAAGCGGUGGAGCGUGUUGUUUAAUUCGAUGGUAAGCGAAGAACCUUACCCAGGUUUGACAUCCCGAGAAGGUUUCCGAAAGGAAAUUGUGCCGUAAGGAAUUCGGUGACAGGUGUUGCAUGGCCGUCGUCAGCUCGUGUCGUGAGAUGUUAGGUUAAGUCCUUCAACGAGCGCAACCCUUAUAGUUAGUUGUAUUUUUCUAGCUAGACUGCCCUGGCAACAGGGAGGAAGGAGGGGAUGAUGUCAGGUCAGUAUUACCCUUACACCUGGGGCUACAAACACGCUACAAUGGCCGGUACAAAGGGCAGCCAAGUCGCAAGACGGAGC